rnacentral:rRNA from 1 species
GCCAGCAGCUAUAUCACCCUGCAACUCCCAGCUGGCAGCCCCACAGAAGCUCGGCAGGGUGUGAGCCUGGUCAGUCCCUGGAUGGGAGUCUCCUGGGAAAACUAAGGUUGCUGCUGGCA